rnacentral:rRNA from 1 species
CGAACGGCAGCAUGUCCCUCUUCGGAAGGAUGAUGGCGAGUGGCGGACGGGUGAGUAAUGCGUAGAAAUCUGCCCUGAAGUGGGGGACAACCUAGGGAAACUUAGGCUAAUACCGCAUAUCUUCUACGGAAGAAAGCUGGGGACCUUCGGGCCUGGCGCUUUGGGAUGAGUCUACGUCAGAUUAGCUAGUUGGUGGGGUAACAGCCUACCAAGGCAACGAUCUGUAGCUGGUCUGAGAGGAUGAUCAGCCACACUGGGACUGAGAUACGGCCCAGACUCCUACGGGAGGCAGCAGUGGGGAAUUUUGGACAAUGGGCGAAAGCCUGAUCCAGCAAUGCCGCGUGUGCGACGAAGGCCUUCGGGUUGUAAAGCACUUUCAGUGGUGAGGAAAUCCUUAGGGUUAAUAGCCUUAAGGUCUGACAUUAGCCACAAAAGAAGCACCGGCUAACUCCGUGCCAGCAGCCGCGGUAAUACGGAGGGUGCAAGCGUUAAUCGGAAUUACUGGGCAUAAAGCGCACGUAGGUUGAUGUUUAAGUCAGAUGUGAAAGCCCUGGGCUUAACCUAGGAACUGCAUUUGAAACUGGACAUCUUGAGUAUAGUAGAGGAAAGUGGAAUUUCCGGUGUAGGGGUGAAAUCCGUAGAUAUCGGAAGGAACAUCAGUGGCGAAGGCGGCUUUCUGGACUAAUACUGACACUGAGGUGCGAAAGCGUGGGUAGCAAACAGGAUUAGAUACCCUGGUAGUCCACGCCGUAAACGAUGAGAACUAGGUGUUGGGAAACUUGUUUUCUUAGUACCGCUGCUAACGCAUUAAGUUCUCCGCCUGGGGAGUAUGACCGCAAGGUUAAAACUUAAAGGAAUUGACGGGGGCCCGCACAAGCGGUGGAGCAUGUGGUUUAAUUCGAUGCAACGCGAAAACCUUACCUACCCUUGACAUCCUUGGAAUCUUCUAGAGAUAGAGGAGUGCCUUCGGGAGCAGUGACAGUGCUGCAUGACUGUCGUCAGCUCGUGUCGUGAGAUGUGGGUAGUCCCGUACGAGCGCAACCCUAUUCUCUGUACAGCACGUCAUGGUGGCACACUGAGAAACUGCGGUGAUAACCGAGAAAGUGAAUGACGUCAGUCAUCAUGGCCUUGGGUAGCUCCCCGGCUCAUGGGCAAUCAAAGAGUCCCAAUCCGCGAGGGGAGCAUAAUAUACCCACACGUUCUGCAGCUCGGAAUGAAACUCGGAUCGACAUCCUGGAGGUGGAAGCCAGCUAAUACCGAAAUACCAACUUCUGGUUG